GGAUGUGAGGGUGACCUGGCUGCCACAUGUCACCCCCUGAUCGCCAGAGUCGAAUCGGCUGUGUGGUGGGCUAGGCAAGUGUCUCGGUCCUUCCUCACCGCUCCACCUGUGUCCCUCCUGAAGCUAAGCCUUCCCUGAUAGAGGAGGACCUUUCUUCGGUCAGGGGUACAGGAGUGACUGCGUUCCCCUGCCAGAACCCCCGCACAAGCCUUCACUGAUCUGUUCAUCCAUCCUCUCACCCAUUCAGCCAUCCAUCCACUUAACUACCACUUGGGAGGCAUCGCUCUGGU
rnacentral:snRNA from 1 species